rnacentral:rRNA from 1 species
GAUGAACGCUGGCGGCGUGCCUAAUACAUGCAAGUCGAGCGAACGGACGAGAAGCUUGCUUCUCUGAUGUUAGCGGCGGACGGGUGAGUAACACGUGGAUAACCUACCUAUAAGACUGGGGUAACUUCGGGAAGCCGGAGCUAAUACCGGAUAAUAUUUUGAACCGCAUGGUUCAAAAGUGAAAGACGGUCUUGCUGUCACUUAUAGAUGGAUCCGCGCUGCAUUAGCUAGUUGGUAAGGUAACGGCUUACCAAGGCAACGAUGCAUAGCCGACCUGAGAGGGUGAUCGGCCACACUGGAACUGAGACACGGUCCAGACUCCUACGGGAGGCAGCAGUAGGGAAUCUUCCGCAAUGGGCGAAAGCCUGACGGAGCAACGCCGCGUGAGUGAUGAAGGUCUUCGGAUCGUAAAACUCUGUUAUUAGGGAAGAACAUAUGUGUAAGUAACUGUGCACAUCUUGACGGUACCUAAUCAGAAAGCCACGGCUAACUACGUG